AGAGUUUGAUCCUGGCUCAGGACGAACGCUGGUGGCGUGCUUAACACAUGCAAGUCGAACGGAAAGGCCCUUCGGGGUACUCGAGUGGCGAACGGGUGAGUAACACGUGGGUGAUCUGCCCUGCACUUUGGGAUAAGCCUGGGAAACUGGGUCUAAUACCGAAUAUGACCAUGCGCCUCCUGGUGUGUGGUGGAAAGCUUUUGCGGUGUGGGAUGGGCCCGCGGCCUAUCAGCUUGUUGGUGGGGUAAUGGCCUACCAAGGCGACGACGGGUAGCCGGCCUGAGAGGGUGACCGGCCACACUGGGACUGAGAUACGGCCCAGACUCCUACGGGAGGCAGCAGUGGGGAAUAUUGCACAAUGGGCGCAAGCCUGAUGCAGCGACGCCGCGUGAGGGAUGACGGCCUUCGGGUUGUAAACCUCUUUCAGCACAGACGAAGCGCAAGUGACGGUAUGUGCAGAAGAAGGACCGGCCAACUACGUGCCAGCAGCCGCGGUAAUACGUAGGGUCCGAGCGUUGUCCGGAAUUACUGGGCGUAAAGAGCUCGUAGGUGGUUUGUCGCGUUGUUCGUGAAAACUCACAGCUUAACUGUGGGCGUGCGGGCGAUACGGGCAGACUUGAGUACUGCAGGGGAGACUGGAAUUCCUGGUGUAGCGGUGGAAUGCGCAGAUAUCAGGAGGAACACCGGUGGCGAAGGCGGGUCUCUGGGCAGUAACUGACGCUGAGGAGCGAAAGCGUGGGGAGCGAACAGGAUUAGAUACCCUGGUAGUCC
rnacentral:rRNA from 1 species